UCCUAGUUUCCUAGGCAGUUCCAUCAGAGUGCCUCCAAAGGAGUUGCAACUGAUAGCAGGGGUUGCGCUCGUUAAAGGACUUAACCCAACAUCUCACGACACGAGCUGACGACAGCCAUGCAGCACCUGUGUACUUGUCCAAGCUUACGCUUGAAAAACCAUAUUUCUACAGCGGUCAAGUACAUGUCAAGCCCAGGUAAGGUUUCUCGCGUAGUAUCGAAUUAAACCACAUGUUCCACCGCUUGUGCGGACCCCCGUCAAUUUCUUUGAGUUUUAAUCUUGCGACCGUACUCCCCAGGCGGGUCACUUAACGCGUUAGCUACGACACUGAUUCCGCAGAGCGGAACCAACGUCUAGUGACCAUCGUUUACAGCGUGGACUAC
rnacentral:misc_RNA from 1 species